rnacentral:tRNA from 1 species
GGUUAUAGCUCAGUGGUACAGCACUUGCCUCAGAUGUGUGAGGCACUGGGUUCAAUUCUCAGCACCA